GAUAAGAGGGGAAACUGGAAGAGGAAAUAUGAAUCAUGACUAUAGGAUAAAGGCGUAAACAGGAGCUUCAUUCUUAAAAAGUAAAACAAUGAACAAUGAGAAGAGUGCUAACAUCUUGUUUCUAUCCUUCAUCUUCAUCAAAAAACAUCUUGUUUCUAUCCUUCAAAUCAAAUAUAGGACAUGAAUAAUGAGAACACAAACACCAUCUCAAUAACUCUACACUGCAGCAAGGAUA
rnacentral:lncRNA from 1 species